UUUUAGAAAUUGGGCGAUCCCGGUCACCUUUCUAGGACCCAGAAGUAGGGUUUUGGCCUAGGUAAUGGGGCAGAGAUGUGGUUCGAGGUUCUCCCCGGACUCGCUGUCAUGGGCGUGUGCUUGUUUAUUCCAGGACUGGCUACUGCGUACAUCCAGAGGUUCACUAACGGGGGCAAGGAAAAAAGGAUUGCUCAUCUUGGGUAUCACUGGAAACUGACAGAAAGAGAUAGGCGCAUCUCUGGAAUUAAUCGUUACUAUGUGUCAAAGGGUUUGGAGAACAUUGAUUAAGGAAGCAUUUUCCUGAUUGAUGAAAAAAAUAACUCAUUUAUGGCCAUCUACCCCUGGUAGAAGGUUAUACAGUGUAUUAUGUAACAUGCAAUGUGUUAUGUAGUGCUUAAUAAAAAUAAAAUGAAAAAAA